AUGCUCCAAGAUACGUGGUCAUAUAUACUAAAAUUGGGUCUGUACAGAGAAGAUUAGUAUGGACCUUGUGCAAGGAAAACAGGCAAAGUCAUGAUGUGUUCUAUAUUUUC
rfam:Alligator mississippiensis ScZkoYb_109, whole genome shotgun sequence.